GAUGAACGCUAGCGGCAGGCUUAACACAUGCAAGUCGAGGGGCAGCACGAGGUAGCAAUACUUUGGUGGCGACCGGCGCACGGGUGCGUAACGCGUAUGCAACCUACCUUUAACAGGGGCAUAACACUGAGAAAUUGGUACUAAUUCCCCAUAACAUUCGAGAAGGCAUCUUCUUGGGUUAAAAACUCCGGUGGUUAAAGAUGGGCAUGCGUUGUAUUAGCUAGUUGGUGAGGUAACGGCUCACCAAGGCAACGAUACAUAGGGGGGACUGAGA
rnacentral:rRNA from 1 species